rnacentral:rRNA from 1 species
GNNCCUGUGCUGCUACCAUGCAGUCGACGGUGAACACGGAGCUUGCUCUGUGGGAUCAGUGGCGAACGGGUGAGUAACACGUGAGCAACCUGCCCCUGACUCUGGGAUAAGCGCUGGAAACGGCGUCUAAUACUGGAUAUGUGACGUGAUCGCAUGGUCUGCGUCUGGAAAGAAUUUCGGUUGGGGAUGGGCUCGCGGCCUAUCAGCUUGUUGGUGAGGUAAUGGCUCACCAAGGCGUCGACGGGUAGCCGGCCUGAGAGGGUGACCGGCCACACUGGGACUGAGACACGGCCCAGACUCCUACGGGAGGCAGCAGUGGGGAAUAUUGCACAAUGGGCGCAAGCCUGAUGCAGCAACGCCGCGUGAGGGAUGACGGCCUUCGGGUUGUAAACCUCUUUUAGCAGGGAAGAAGCGAAAGUGACGGUACCUGCAGAAAAAGCGCCGGCUAACUACGUGCCAGCAGCCGCGGUAAUACGUAGGGCGCAAGCGUUAUCCGGAAUUAUUGGGCGUAAAGAGCUCGUAGGCGGUUUGUCGCGUCUGCUGUGAAAUCCGGAGGCUCAACCUCCGGCCUGCAGUGGGUACGGGCAGACUAGAGUGCGGUAGGGGAGAUUGGAAUUCCUGGUGUAGCGGUGGAAUGCGCAGAUAUCAGGAGGAACACCGAUGGCGAAGGCAGAUCUCUGGGCCGUAACUGACGCUGAGGAGCGAAAGGGUGGGGAGCAAACAGGCUUAGAUACCCUGGUAGUCCACCCCGUAAACGUUGGGAACUAGUUGUGGGGUCCAUUCCACGGAUUCCGUGACGCAGCUAACGCAUUAAGUUCCCCGCCUGGGGAGUACGGCCGCAAGGCUAAAACUCAAAGGAAUUGACGGGGACCCGCACAAGCGGCGGAGCAUGCGGAUUAAUUCGAUGCAACGCGAAGAACCUUACCAAGGCUUGACAUAUACGAGAACGGGCCAGAAAUGGUCAACUCUUUGGACACUCGUAAACAGGUGGUGCAUGGUGUCGUCAGCUCGUGUCGUGAGAUUGUUGGGUUAAGUACCGCAACGAGCGCAACCCUCGUCUAUGUUGCCAGCACGUAAUGGUUGGAAA